UGCGCAUGUGCGGUGUUGAGAGAGGAGUUCGCCGAAACCUACGAAAAAGUUUCCAGCAACAGGACGCAACGGGACUGUGAAAGUGAAUUUUACAACGCGCUUGGAUGCACCUGGGAGCGAGAGGGAGGCUGUUUGUAUAACGUGAGAAUGAGUGUUUGCCUGUUGUCUGGCCUGGACGCUAUUUCUGGCAUGAGCGAAGGUGUUUGGUGUGACACUGACAGUACCUGCAGGGUUAUAACAAGGUGAGUCACUUCUACCUGGAUACCAUCAUCCUAUUGUUUGUUAUGAAGCACUGCAACCGGUGUCCUGCUCUCUGUUGCUAAACAGAACUCUCUUUGCUGUCCUCACAACACCCUGGAAAACAUUCAUCUCGGUUCUUCUGACUGUGGGGGAGCCUUUAAGGCCAGACUCACUUCAAACGGAGCUGUGACAUAAACAUGAUCACCAGCAGGUUCUCAGAAACUCUGCCCAAGUAAAUAGACCACAGGAAGAGACUCUACGUGACCCUCAAAUGAGGACAACAAGGAAGCUGCUUGACAUGGACCCUAUUAUUAGAAACUCUGAUAGACACUGGCAUGGAAGUUGUGGUUUUUGCCGUGCAAGACCCUGACUGCUCUUUUCGCUCUCUUGAAAAUAAAGUUGAUGGACUUCAACAAAAUGCAAGUUUUCACAUUCAAAGCCAAACUGAAAAAUUGAAACUGAUCCUGUUUACUUUUUAUGAAAUUCGUUCCUAGUCCUGUUGUGAAAGAUUCAUUGCUGAAUGUCAUUCCAAGUAAAUGGCGAAUAAAAUAACUCGGUCUGUCUCCUAAACAAUACCAAAAGCGUUGUUUUUUCCAUGCACUGGUCACUUUGAAGAUUGUGUUCUAUUCCGCUUACAUAACAUGUCAUCUUUUAGACCAGAAAAAACAUCUAAAAUAAAAACGUAUAAGAAAACAAAACUAAAAAACACUUUUUUACUUAUUUCAUUACAUUUAAUCUAUUGCCUGUAGCUUCCAAAUACAAUAUCUUUUCUCAAAAAGUUAUAUGUACCAAAUUCUUUCCUGCAAGUUUUAUUCCUAUAUUCCCAAUUUUUACGGAAGUCAUAUAUCACCCAUAUUUUUAUUUUAUUGUCUAUUUAAUUAAAUUUUUUAUUAUUAUUUUAAGCAAUGCGUUCUGAACCUGACUUUAUCCAAUAUUUAGAAUUCUGUUCUGGAUCUGCUGAUCUAUUAAUUUUCUGAGACACUAACAAGCUAAGCACUUUUUUUAGUACCCGGGAUGGCAUAAUUCUGGUAUGUAAUGAAGAUCUUAUCAUAUAAAAGUUCUUAUUCUGGACUUUUGCUCCCUGAAUAUCCUGUUUCACUCGGAAAUGUCACAUUACGGAAGUAAAAUGAGUUAAAAAUGGGCAAAGUGUUCUUUAUUCUGCCAUUGUUGUUGUUACUACUAUUCUUUGAGAGCUGAUGUGAUCAAUCCUUAAGUGUUUUCCAUGGUAUGAAGUGUGGGUGGCACACAUAUAGUUCUGAUUCGUGUUAUUAUAUCAUUUGUCAAGACCUAAACGGACAUGUGAUGUAAUCUAACGCAAAGUAUGUCCUGUGUCUCUUUCAGAUCUGGAAGACUGUGUGCGUAAGAAAGACAGAGAGCAAGAGAGACGGAGAGUGCACACAGAAACAGGGAAAUAUAAAAAAAAACAAAAAUGAGGAAGAGAAAGAGGUGGGGUGGGAGGGCUUUCACAGCUGUUGUUCUGCUGUGUUUCCUCUGAUAGUGGACUUGGCUGUACUCCCAGUUCUUUAGGUAAAAGAUUCAAAACACAAUUACCUUCAACGCCUUUUUAUGAAAAGACAAGGUGGAAGUAUGCAAAGCAACACUCAAUCUGGAUUUAUUAUCGUUUUUUUUUUCUCUCAAAUAUGCAUAAUUGAGUUUUACUUUUAAAUAUUUAUGGCAUGCUGCAUAUUGUGGCGGAUAUGCUUUAGAUAUAGAAGAAUUAAUUCCACCUUCAUCCUCUUAUAAAGCUGUCCCCCAUCACACGAGUGAAUAUGCUGACAGUGCUGACAGGAGCUUCUUAUAUCUAGAUCAGCUUAUGGUGCACACUUUAAUUCUUUAAUCUGUUCUACACAAGUGACCCUUUGCGAGUCGCACUUGGCCGGGAUGUUGAAGGGAAGGAACUUAUUCCAGAAUACUAAUUGAGGGGAACAAAAGCACCCGAUGGGCCCUCACCCAUGAUUCUCCAGGUGACCAUGGCAACACUUAAAACCUGAAAGAUAACGUCUUCUUGAAUAUCAAUGUGCUUCGAAUGUCUCUUACGGAUAUUUGCCUAGUAACUUUAAAGAAAUAACAGGUCCACAUACGUAACGGAUUCCGCUUAAGAACAGAUAUGCAAAACAGUGCUGCAAUCCAUUUAACAUGCCAAGACAUUUCUCUCAUGCAAGUCCGGUCUUUUACUUUCAGACAUGGUUUGUCAACGUAACUGUUACUAGUUAAAGCAUUAGAAAGGUGCGUCUCAUCUACAUUACAAAUUUCCAUAUGCACCGUCAGGCUUACAUAAUGCGGCGAUUAAUGUUUUUUUUCUUGUUCGAGCAUUACAAUAAUUUCCAUGCGUCUGUGCUGCAGUGGACUGGCAUAGUAUUGUUUUAAAAUAAAUAUUUGUUUUAGAGGAAAAGAUAAAUGUCCUGUGAAUCCAAACAUCAUCCAGAACUUUGGACCGAUGCUAAGUACAUUCACCUCUGGAAAUUCUAUGUAAAACAUCUGUCAAACAACCCAAUUUUUACUUUUUUUAUGUAACUUAUGUCACCUGUUUUGCUUAGCAUGAAAUCUCUGAAAACGACUCGGUAUAUUUUGCAAAAAGAUUAUGUCAUGCUUAUGUUUACAUUCGGCGUAUAAUUCAAAGCAAAUUAAGCCAUUGUUCCAAAGUUUUCAGCAUUAAACUGAUCAAAAGUGACAGUAAAAAACUUUAUAGUGAAGGAUUUUAUGACACUGACCACUGAAAUAAUGAUAUAUAAUAUAAUAAAUAAUAUAUAUACUUAUUUAUUACUACUUAUUAUUUAUUAUUACUUACUAUAAGUGUCUAAUUUAAUGAAAUAAAAUAAUUGAAUUCCAUUGAAUUCAAUAAGCAUUGUUGGAAAAAUUCUGUGUUAUCAUUUAAACACAACAUGCGUAUUCCCGUUGAACUCAUGACCUCGGUAUGGAGAAGACCACACUAUGCAGUAGUUGCUGAGAUCCAUAAAAUCAAAAACAGGAACCCCACACACAUAUUUAUACAUGGCACAGCUAUGUGGAAGAUCAUGCAUUUCUUCAGUGAGGAACUUACAUCACCAAACCAGAGAGCGUGGAGUUAUGUUGCAUAAGCCAAAAGCCUGUCAUAAGAUGUUUGUUUUUUUUCUAUGUAGCCUCUGCAUCUCUUAAGUAAUACAAGUCAAAUCAACGAAUGCCAUCUUGAUUGUUGCUUCUUGAGCUUAAAAAAACAAACAAAAGAAAAUCAAGAUGUUGAUUCUGGAGAAAAAGUCUAAUUGUCUCUUGAGUUAUACUGUAGACAGGAUAUUCAUUGUCGCUACUGCCAUGUUGAGGUUUUUUGAUUUCCUCAUUAUUGUAUAACAGGCCCAUCUCCCCCUCCUGUGCUGUCUCUGGAUAAGUAUGUUCUAGUCUAGAGACUAGAACGUUCUUUACUGUUAUUAGACAUUAGGGCUGCCCAGUUCUUUAAAAAAUGACACAUCAUGAAUUGCAGGCCCUGUGAGAUUUUUCUGGAACACAGCUCUGUAGUUUAAGUCCAACAAGAACCCAAUUGCCCCUUUGGACAAGGCUAAGAGCGGCGUGUUUCACAUUCCAGAUCCCAGUGUCUUUGAUUUUUUGGCAGAGCUUCGCAAGUUACAUUAGCCUGUCCCAGAGUUCACCGUUCUGUUUACUCGUUUGUCUAUUUGCAUUUUGUUGCAUGACCAACCCAUCAUGGUGAUCCAUUCCAUGACAUGUCAGUGGAAAGAAUGCUAGCGCAAACGUGGUAAAUGACACUGGUAAUUAGCGCAACGAGAUGCAGACGUCCAAAAACAAAACCACGCGCUAACACUAGCCAUGCAUGUUUGACAUGACAGAUAUUGUAAACAGUAUCGUACAACGAGCGUCUUGUUCACGGGUUUUUGAUUCAGGGCCACGUUUUAACUUCUCUGACUUCAAGGGGUAGAUCACCCAAAGGUGAAAGGAGGUAAAUGAGCACUUGGGCUGCCAAGCUUCAAAAUUAUGGGAAAAAUGAUCGAAUCGAAUACAAUAUAAAAAUAAUAACAUUAAGUUCAGUUAAAACUAAAAAAUGUAACAUAACAAAUAACAUAAAUUAAUGAAAUAGCAUAAAAAAUUAUUAGAAUCAAUGCUUUGAAGAAGUCCUACACAAAAGACGUUUGUUACUUGUAUAAUAAACUCUAAUUAUCUAAGAGCUAGGGAUUUUUUUUUUUUCAGUGAAUCAACAUGUUUCGUCUGUUCCUCAGACAAAACUAAGACUUGCUAUAUAGCAUAUGAGUCACAUCACGCGAAUGUAAUAUUCUUUUACGCAACCCAAAAGGUGAAGAGUAAUUAAAAUCGCCUAUUCUUGCUUGAUAUUUGCUUGAUUGCGCAACCUUGUCCGGUUUAAAAGAAACCCAACACUGAACCUGGCUACCACAGUGACUGGUGGAGGCAAGAAGAAUUAAAGACGGAGCGGUCUACUGGCACGGGCAUGUUACGGAAGGGUAUUUUGCAAAAGAGCUUUACAAAAGCUUUCCAGGAUAGCCAAACAUUUCUGAUAAAAGGAGAGGAAGCUACUUUGAGUAUUAAUACAAACAAGUUGAUUCACAUGAAAAAGCAAGCCUGAUUAAUCAGUGUUGUUGACUCUUUUUUUUUUUUUUUUUUCUUCUGCUAUUAGUGUUUGAGAAGUGACGGCAACAAAUGUUAAACCUACGUAAAUAAAGCUUGUAAGUAAUAUCUGUUUACCUUUAGCAGUGUCUAAUAAUUAGUCAGCGUCCCUUCACGUAAGCACUCCGCGUUUAUGUGCAGACACGGUGCCUUUCCUUCAAACUUGACGUUUAUAAUGACUUGCAUGUUUAUGGAAAGAAAUGCUUUGUUAUGUAUGUUAUCAGUCCAAAUCAAUGGGGGUGUCACCCAUACAUAUCCACAAUCCUGAUUCAAGAUCAAGAUAAACUCUGCAUAAUAUGUAUCUGACAAGCUUUGUAUGUUGACUCAAAGUAAUAGUUUGGCAACUCAAUGCACCGUAAAACAAUCUCAGCUUUUACUGCCUAAAAUACAGUCUUAGUCCUGUUGCAUGAGAGUAGUGUUUUGAAAAACCAAGAUCCUUUAAUUAGCCGUCCAAAUCUAAGAAACCAAAACGGAGACUUGUUUACUGUGUAAGGGCUGUUUUGGACUGGAAAUUGUUCGCUGCGUAGCCACAUGUACACAUAUUUUACUGCAACCUGCUGAGCACAUGCCCAACGCGCCGGCGCACAGACGACUCGCCGCUGGUUUGUAGCAUGUGACUGGUGAAGACCGGGCAAAGUCCAUAAGUACAUCCUGCUUGGAUGCUACGCAACGCAACGACCCUGUGCAGAAGCUUUCCGUGCACCUGCAGCCGAGCAGGAUGAGCUGUAAUAGCAGGCUGAUUCAUUCACUCUUAUAGGUGUUUCAGAGGACGCUGUGUUCCAGACCAGUCAAGACAAAACCAUGAUGACCCGUUGGCGUGUCAUGGUUAAUCUUACGGACUAGCAUAAUGGAAAAAUGUAGAGGUUUCCAUAGAGGCCUGCUCUGCCAGUGCAGCGUUCUUGGCCAUAAAUCAUAGUGAAAUAGUUGAAUAAAGGGUUUUGCAAGGUAAUCUAAAAAUAUGAUUGGUUUUAACAAUUUUUUUAUUGUUAUUUAAGACAAAAAUGUUUUUUUAAAAAGACUGAAUCAGCUAGACUAAGUUACACUGUAAUAAUAAUACUUAU